rnacentral:rRNA from 1 species
UGAAUACGAGAUGCUACGGCGCUGAAGCAGUCUAUGUCAUACUUCCAAGAAAAGCUUGCACUGUCACGAACAAAGAAUGCCUGUACCAUAACCGACACAGGUGGGUAGGUAGAGUAUACUAAGGGGCGCGAGAUAACUCUCUCUAAGGAACUCGGCAAAAUGACUCCGUAACUUCGGGAGAAGGAGUGCCUUAUUUUUAAGGUUGCAAUAACAAGAUCCAAGCAACUGUUUACCAAAAACACAGGUCUCCGCUAAGUCGUAAGACGAUGUAUGGGGGCUGACGCCUGCCCAGUGCCAGAAGGUUAAAGAAGUCGGUUAGCGUUCGCGAAGCUGAGAACUGAAGCCCUGGUGAACGGCGGCCGUAACGAUAACGGUCCUAAGGUAGCGAAAUUCCUUGUCGGGUAAGUUCCGACCCGCACGAAAGGCGUAAUGAUUUGGAUACUGUCUCGGAGUGGGGCUCGGUGAAAUAGACUUGUCUGUGAAGAUGCGGACUACCUGCACCUGGACAGAAAGACCCUAUGAAGCUUUACUGUAACUUGAGAUUGAAAUUGGACUUUAUUUGCGCAGUAUAGGUGGGAGGCGUUGAGAAUAAUCUUGCGGGAUUAUUGGAGCCAUCAGUGAGAUACCACUCCUGUAAUGUUAGAUUUCUAACUUUGUAUCAUUCUCUGGUCAAAGAACAGUUUCAGGCGGGCAGUUUGACUGGGGCGGUCGCCUCCCAAAGGGUAACGGAGGCGCACAAAGGUUUCCUCUGAACGGGUAGAAAUCGUAUCUAGAGUGUAAAGGCAUAAGGAAGCUUGACUGUGAGACCUACAAGUCGAGCAGGGACGAAAGUCGGUCUUAGUGAUCUGACGGUGCUGAGUGGAAAGGCCGUCACUCAACGGAUAAAAGUUACUCUAAGGAUAACAGGCUGAUCUCCCCCAAGAGUUCACAUCGACGGGGAGGUUUGGCACCUCGAUGUCGGCUCAUCGCAUCCUGGGGCGGUAGUACGUCCCAAGGGUUGGGCUGUUCGCCCAUGAAAGCGGUACGCGAGCUGGGUUCAGAACGUCGUGAGACAGUUCGGUCCAUAUCCGGUGUAGGCGUUAGAAUAUUGAGAGGAGCCUUCUCUAGUACGAGAGGACCGAGAAGGACAUACCUCUGGUGUACCAGUUAUCGUGCCAACGGUAAACGCUGGGUAGCUAUGUAUGGAGUAGAUAACCGCUGAAAGCAUCUAAGUGGGAAGCCCACCUCAAGAUAAGUAUUCUCA